rnacentral:rRNA from 1 species
AUAUCAAUAAGCGGAGGAAAAGAAACCAACAGGGAUUGCCCCAGUAACGGCGAGUGAAGCGGCAACAGCUCAAAUUUGAAAUCUGGUCCCCCCGCGGGGCCCGAGUUGUAAUUUGAAGAGGAUGCUUCUGGCAAGGUGCCGUCCGAGUUCCCUGGAACGGGACGCCGCAGAGGGUGAGAGCCCCGUACGGUCGGAUGCCGAGCCUCUGUGAAGCUCCUUCGACGAGUCGAGUAGUUUGGGAAUGCUGCUCAAAAUGGGAGGUAAACCCCUUCUAAAGCUAAAUACCGGCCAGAGACCGAUAGCGCACAAGUAGAGUGAUCGAAAGAUGAAAAGCACUUUGAAAAGAGAGUUAAAAAGCACGUGAAAUUGUUGAAAGGGAAGCGCUUGCGACCAGACUCGCGCCCGUCGGAUCAGCCGUCGCUCGUCGGCGGCGCACUCCGGCGGGCUCGGGCCAGCAUCAGUUCGCCUCGGGGGGAGAAAGGCGGCAGGAAUGUGGCUCUACGGAGUGUUAUAGCCUGCCGUACAAUACCCCCGGGCGGACUGAGGACCGCGCGUAUGCAAGGAUGCUGGCGUAAUGGUCGUCAGCGACCCGUCUUGAAACACGGACCAAGGAGUCGUCCUAAUAUGCGAGUGUACGGGUGUCAAACCCCUGCGCGUAAUGAAAGUGAACGGAGGUGAGAGCUUCGGCGCAUCAUCGACCGAUCCUGAUGUUCUCGGAUGGAUUUGAGUAAGAGCAUAUUGGGCCGGACCCGAAAGAAGGUGAACUAUGCCUGUGUAGGGUAAAGCCAGAGGAAACUCUGGUGGAGGCUCGCAGCGGUUCUGACGUGCAAAUCGAUCGUCAAACAUGGGCAUGGGGGCGAAAGA